rnacentral:rRNA from 1 species
AGCGAAUAGAUACCCAGGUAGUCCACGCCGUAAACUAUGAAUGCUAGUUGUUAGGAAGUUUACUCUAGUGACGCAGCUAAACGCGUUAAGCAUUCCGCCUGGGGAGUACGGUCGCAAGAUUAAAACUCAAAGGAAUUGACGGGGGCCCGGCACAAGCGGUGGAGCAUGUGGUUUAAAAUUCGAAGCAACGCGAAGAACCUUACCGGCUCUUGACAUGGGUAUCGCGAGAUCCAGAGAUGGAUCUCUUCAGUUCGGCUGGAUACCACACAGGUGCUGCAUGGCCGUCGUCAGCUCGUGUCGUGAGAUGUUGGGUUUAAGUCCCGCAACGAGCGCAACCCUCGUCUUUAGUUGCCAUCAGGUUAUGCUGGGCACUCUAAAGAAACCGCCGGUGACAAGCCGGAGGAAGU